UUAAAUAAGUGGGCGAGAUAAGUGCUAAAUAAACGUUAAAGAAAAUAAAUAGCUUUUUAGAUCGUUUCCUUCCCAACGGAACACAAGGUGCUAGUAGGGAAUUUGAUCAAGCUUGAUGUAAUCGAUUUGACCGUCGUCAAAUACAAAUCUCUUUUUCGAGAUAUAUACGAUUUUUAGUUCGUAUACAAAAUAUUACGAAUCAAUGUUCGUUUGUAUAAUAUAUAUUUGAGAAUAUUAGAUCGUAUGAUAUAAAGGUUAUUCUUUUAUAAUAAAACUCAAAUAUAACGAAUCUUUAGUUCGUUAGAAUGUUUCAUGAAACUUUAGUUCGUGUUGGUAUAUUUCGAAUAUCACGAAUCUUUGGUUCGUGUAAUUAAUUUAUUCGAAACAAGAAAUCUCUUUUAUUAGAGAUACGAGAUGAAGAGCUUUUGUAGAGAGUAGAUCGAUGAUAAUAACGAGCUCUUGUAUAAAUAAAAUGGUCGGUUAAGACACGGAUUUAUGAAGCUAAAAAUAUAACCACUUACGAGAACGAUCGGAAAGUUCGCCGGAAAAAUUCGCCGGAGGUUCGGUAGGACUAUAAGCACACGGACGAAUUUGGGCAGCCCUUCGGGAGGCAAGAUGGUAGUGGUUAAAGAGCUAAAGUGGUGAGACAAAGCUUGGUUGGUUGAACAAAAGCUUGUAUAACUAAAACCUUGUGUAUAUAUGUAUAUAUAUAUAUAAGAAUGGAGGUUUUAGAGAAGAAGUAUUUGUAGAGAGUGUUUGUAGAUGAAAGAGAGAGUGUAUACUUCAAAAAUCUCAGCACUUCUAUGGCUU
rnacentral:lncRNA from 1 species